GUGAGGAAUAUUGGUCAAUGGGCGGGAGCCUGAACCAGCCAAGUCGCGUGAAGGAAGAAGGAUCUAUGGUUCGUAAACUUCUUUUGCAGGGGAAUAAAGUGCGGGACGUGUCCUGUUUUGUAUGUACCCUGAGAAUAAGGAUCGGCUAACUCCGUGCCAGCAGCCGCGGUAAUACGGAGGAUCCGAGCGUUAUCCGGAUUUAUUGGGUUUAAAGGGCGCGUAGGUGGUUUGAUAAGUCAGCGGUGAAAGUUUGCAGCUUAACUGUAAAAUUGCCGUUGAAACUGUCGGUCUUGAGUGCAAAUGAGGUAGGCGGAAUGUGUUGUGUAGCGGUGAAAUGCUUAGAUAUCACGCAGAACUCCGAUUGCGAAGGCAGCUUACUAAGCUACAACUGACACUGAAGCACGAAAGCGUGGGGAUCAAACAGGAUUAGAUACCCGAGUAGUCC
rnacentral:rRNA from 1 species